rnacentral:rRNA from 1 species
UACAGAGGUCCCAAGCGUUGUUCGGAUUCACUGGGCGUAAAGGGUGCGUAGGUGGUGAGGUAAGUCGGAUGUGAAAGCUCGGAGCUCAACUCCGAAAUGGCAUUGGAAACUACCUUGCUCGAGGGUUGGAGGGGGGACUGGAAUACUUGGUGUAGCAGUGAAAUGCGUAGAUAUCAAGUGGAACACCAGUGGCGAAGGCGAGUCCCUGGACAACUCCUGACACUGAGGCACGAAAGCUAAGGGAGCAAACAGG